AUGUUCGGGAAUUGGCUGAGGGGAAUAGAUAAACAAUUUUCUAAGCUAAUUCUUGCGGGGGCGGCUGCCUUAUGUUGGGCGUUGUGGCUAACCAGGAAUGAUAUUGUUUUUAAUCAUAAAAGUGUUUCAUCUCCUAUGCAGGUAAUUCAUAUAUGCUCGUGAUGGCUCCGUAUAUGGUCUAUCCUGCAGAGGCCGGAGGACAGAGACUUUUUUAUGAUGGCUUCUACCCGGUUGGAGUGCUCGGCCAGGGACAUUUUCUACCCCCAUGGAUGGCGGUGUGACCUUCGGAUAGGCCCGGCAUCACCUUAG
rnacentral:rRNA from 1 species